rnacentral:rRNA from 1 species
GUGGGGAAUAUUGCACAAUGGGGGAAACCCUGAUGCAGCGACGCCGCGUGAGUGAUGAAGUAUUUCGGUACGUAAAACUCUAUCAGCAGGGAAGAAAAUGACGGUACCUGACUAAGAAGCACCGGCUAAAUACGUGCCAGCAGCCGCGGUAAUACGUAUGGUGCAAGCGUUAUCCGGAUUUACUGGGUGUAAAGGGUGCGUAGGUGGCAUGGCAAGUCAGAUGUGAAAGCCAGGGGCUCAACCCCUGAACUGCAUUUGAAACUGUCAAGCUAGAGUACAGGAGAGGAAAGCGGAAUUCCUAGUGUAGCGGUGAAAUGCGUAGAUAUUAGGAGGAACACCAGUGGCGAAGGCGGCUUUCUGGACUGACACUGACACUGAGGCACGAAAGCGUGGGGAGCAAACAGG